GCAAGUCGAGGGGUAACAGGAAUUAGCUUGCUAAUUUGCUGACGACCGGCGCACGGGUGCGUAACGCGUAUACAAUCUACCUCUUACUGAGGGAUAGCCCAUGGAAACGUGGAUUAAUACCUCAUGGUAUAUUGAAUGGCAUCAUUUGAUAAUUAAAGGUUACGGUAAGAGAUGAGUAUGCGUCCUAUUAGUUAGUUGGUAAGGUAACGGCUUACCAAGGCAGCGAUAGGUAGGGGUCCUGAGAGGGAGAUC
rnacentral:rRNA from 1 species